rnacentral:rRNA from 2 species
GGUUGUGAUCAUACCAGCACUAAUGCACCGGAUCCCAUCAGAACUCCGCAGUUAAGCGUGCUUGGGCGAGAGUAGUACUAGGAUGGGUGACCCCCUGGGAAGUUCUCGUGUUGCAACCC